rnacentral:misc_RNA from 1 species
UUUCCGUAGGUGAACCUGCGGAAGGAUCAUUCAUAAUAAGUGUUUUAUGGCACUUUUUUAAAUCCAUAUCCACCUUGUGUGCAAUGUCAGGGAUGAUUUUUCUCUCGAGAGGAUCAACCCCAAACAUCAACUAUAUCUCAACUCUUUGUCUGAAAAAUAUUAUGAAUAAAACAAUUCAAAAUACAACUUUCAACAACGGAUCUCUUGGCUCUC